CUUUCCCUCCGGGUUUUUUCCACUAAAAUCACCUAUUCCCUCUAUUUCUAAUCAACAACUAAGUUCAAAAAAUUUGAAAAAUAUUUCAAAAAUACAAAUGAAGUUUAUCCUCGCCGCUGCCUUCUUUUCAUUAUAGUUGGCCACCAUCCCAAAGUAACUUUUUGCUGCCAUCGUGCCUUCUCUGUAUCACUGUCGAACGUCAUCAUCCAUCCCCAGUAAAAGAUUUUCAUCACCGCUGCUCAUCCGCCGUUUCACCAUUGUCACUACCAUCUCACAUGGGUUAUUAAUUGAAGAUUAGGGAACUAGGAAUAUGAAUUUGGAGAGAGGGGCGAGAGAAUAGAAAGAAAAAGAGUUUGUGACAAAGGUCAUACAUUAUAGCGGUCAAAUCUUCGCUCAUAGCAGAUUACAUUAUGAUCAAGAGUUGGAGAAUCUUUCUAUGUCGCUUAUUGUAUGUAGCUAUUUGAUAAAAUAACUUAUUAGAUGCAAAAUGACACUAGGUGUUAUAUUUAAAUAGGUUAGCAUUUUGUUAUAUUGUUGACACUUCCAAUUUUUGGAUUAAUAAUUUCGGUUGUU